UACGAAGGUGACAAGCGUUGUUCGGAAUCAUUGGGCGUAAAGCGCACGUAGGCGGGUUUGAAAGUCGAUUGUGAAAACCCUGGGCUCAACCCGGGACCUGCAGUCGAAACUUCAAGUCUUGAAUACUCGAGAGGAUAGUGGAAUUCCAGGAGUAGAAGUGAAAUUCGUAGAUAUCUGGAGGAACACCGGAGGCGAAAGCGGCUAUCUGGCGAGUUAUUGACGCUAAGGUGCGAAAGCGUGGGGAUCAAACAGG
rnacentral:rRNA from 1 species